rnacentral:rRNA from 1 species
UACAGAGGGUGCAAGCGUUAUUCGGAAUUAUUGGGCGUAAAGAGCGCGUAGGCGGUUUGAUAAGUCUGGUGUGAAAUCCCUGGACUCAAUUCAGGAAGCGCAUUGGAUACUGUCAGACUAGAGUGCAGGAGAGGUGAGCGGAAUUCCCGGUGUAGAGGUGAAAUUCGUAGAUAUCGGGAGGAACAACAGUGGCGAAGGCGGCUCACUGGAAUGUGAAUGAAGCUGAGGCGCGAAAGCGGGGGGAGCAACCAGG